GACAUGAGUAGCGUUAAAGGGGGUGAAAAGCCCCCUCGCCGUAAGCGCAAGGUUUUCUACGCAACGUUCAUCGGCGUAGAGUGAGUCGGCCCCUAAGGCGAGGCAGAGAUGCGUAGCUGAUGGGAAACAGGUCAAUAUUCCUGUACCGAUCAAUAGUGCUAUGUGGGGACGGAGAAGGUUAGCUCAGCCAACUGUUGGAUAUGUUGGUUCAAGCCUGUAGUCGUGCCCGGUAGGCAAAUCCGCCGGGCUAAGAUGAGGGGUGAUAACGAGUCUGCUUGCAGACGACGUGCGUGAUACCCUGCUUGCAGGAAACGCCACUAAGCUUCUGCUAUUGACGAC
rnacentral:rRNA from 1 species